rnacentral:rRNA from 1 species
UCGGUAAUUCCAGCUCCAAUAGCGUAUAUUAAAGUUGUUGCAGNUAAAAAGCUCGUAGUUGAAUUUCUGAUAGAAGGGAGCGGUUCCGCAUUCUUGCGGAUACUGGCUCGUCUUCCGUCAUCCUUGGGCUUAGUCUCGCUGACAUUAACUUAUCGGCGUGUACGAUGCCCAUCGUUUACUGUGAGCAAAUUAGAGUGUUCAAAGCAGGCAUUUUGCCAUUGAAUAUAUUAGCAUGGAAUAAUAAGAUAGGAUUUCACGAUUUUAUUUUGUUGGUUUGCGUUGUGAAAUAAUGAUUAAGAGGGACAGUUGUGGGUAUUCGUAUUCAGAUGUCAGAGGUGAAAUUCUUAGAUUAUCGGAAGACGAACGACUGCGAAAGCAUUUACCAAGGAUGUUUUCAUUAAUCAAGAACGAAAGUAUGGGGAUCGAAGAUGAUUAGAUACCAUCGUAGUCUAUACCAUAAACUAUGCCGACUCAGGAUCGGCGGGCCAAUUUUUUUUGCUCGUCGCCACUGUAUGAGAAAUCAAAGUCUUUGGGUUCCGGGGGGGAGUAUGGUCGCAAGGCUGGAACUUAAAGAAAUUGACGGAAGGGCACCACCAGGAGUGGAACCUGCGGCUUAAUUUGACUCACCNCGGGAAAACUUAUCAGGUCCAGACAUAAUGAGGAUUGNCAGAUUGAGAGCUCUUUCCUUGAUUUUAUGGGUGGGGGGGCAUGGCCGUUCUUAAGUUGGUGGAGUGAAUUGUCUGGUUAAUUCCGUUAACGAACGAGACCCCAGCNUGCUAAAUAAUCACGCGAAUGAUUCUUCAUUGGCGAUGGUUUCUUAGAGGGACAUGUUCGAACAACGAACAGGAGGAUUGGGGCAAUAACAGGUCUGUGAUGCCCUUAGAUGUUNUGAACCGCACGCGUGUUACANUGAUGCAUUCANCGAGCUAUUAACCUUGGCCGAGAGGCCUGGGAAAUCUUGGAACGUGCAUCGUGAUAGGGAUUGAUUAUUGCAAUUUUUAAUCAUGAACGAGGAAUUCCUAGUAAACGCAGAUCAUCAAUCUGCAUUGAUUACGUACCCUGCCCUUUGUACACACCGCCCGUCGCACCUACCGAUUGAGUGACUCGAUGAAGGCUCGGGAUNGUGGUUAUUGCUUUCAUUAGGAAUUACUGCGAGAACUUGUCUGAAUCUCGCCACUUAGAGGAAGGUGAAGUCGUAACAAGGUAGCCGUA